rnacentral:rRNA from 1 species
AGUGAACGCUGGCGGCAGGCCUAACACAUGCAAGUCGAACGGCAGCAUAGGAGAGCUUGCUCUCUGGGUGGCGAGUGGCGGACGGGUGAGGAAUAUAUCGGAAUCUACCCUUUCGUGGGGGAUAACGUAGGGAAACUUACGCUAAUACCGCAUACGAACUGAGGUUGAAAGCGGCGGACCGCAAGGCGUCGCGCGGAUGGAUGAGCCGAUAUCCGAUUAGCUAGUUGGCGGGGUAAAGGCCCACCAAGGCGACGAUCGGUAGCUGGGCUGAGGGGAUGCUCAGCCACCGUGGAACUGAGACACGGUCAAGACUCGUACGGGACGCAGCAGUGGGGAAUAUUGGACAAUGGGCGCAAGCCUGACCCAGCCAUGCCGCGUGUGUGAAGAAGGCCUUCGGGUUGUAAAGCACUUUUGUUGGGAAAGAAAAGCGGUCGGUUAAUACCCGGUCGUUCUGACGGUACCCAAAGAAUAAGCACCGGCUAACUUCGUGCCAGCCGCCGCCGUAACAC